rnacentral:rRNA from 1 species
CCUACGGGGGGCUGCAGUGGGGAAUAUUGCACAAUGGGCGCAAGCCUGAUGCAGCCAUGCCGCGUGUGUGAAGAAGGCCUUCAGGUUGUAAAGCACUUUCAGCGGGGAGGAAGGCGGUGAGGUUAAUAACCUCAUCGAUUGACGUUACCCGCAGAAGAAGCACCGGCUAACUCCGUGCCAGCAGCCGCGGUAAUACGGAGGGUGCAAGCGUUAAUCGGAAUUACUGGGCGUAAAGCGCACGCAGGUGGUCUGUCAAGUCGGAUGUGAAAUCCCCGGGCUUAACCUGGGAACUGCAUUCGAAACUGGCAGGCUAGAGUCUUGUAGAGGGGGGUAGAAUUCCAGGUGUAGCGGUGAAAUGCGUAGAGAUCUGGAGGAAUACCGGUGGCGAAGGCGGCCCCCUGGACAAAGACUGACGCUCAGGUGCGAAAGCGUGGGGAGCAAACAGGAUUAGAUACCCUAGUAGUC